rnacentral:rRNA from 1 species
ACGUGGGCAACCUGCCUGUAAGACUGGGAUAACUUCGGGAAACCGGAGCUAAUACCGGAUAAUGUAUAUUCUCACAUGGGGAUAUACUGAAAGAUGGCUUCGGCUAUUACUUACAGAUGGGCCCGCGGCGCAUUAGCUAGUUGGUGAGGUAACGGCUCACCAAGGCGACGAUGCGUAGCCGACCUGAGAGGGUGAUCGGCCACACUGGGACUGAGACACGGCCCAGACUCCUACGGGAGGCAGCAGUAGGGAAUCUUCCGCAAUGGACGAAAGUCUGACGGAGCAACGCCGCGUGAGUGA